rnacentral:rRNA from 1 species
AACCGGAUUAGAUACCCGGGUAGUCCCAGCUGUAAACUAUGCAAACUCAGUGAUGCAUUGGCUUGUGGCCAAUGCAGUGUUGCAGGGAAGCCGUUAAGUUUGCCGCCUGGGAAGUACGUACGCAAGUAUGAAACUUAAAGGAAUUGGCGGGGGAGCACCACANGGGGUGAAGCCUGCGGUUCAAUUGGAGUCAACGCCAGAAAUCUUACCCGGAGAGACAGCAGAAUGAAGGUCAAGCUGAAGACUUUACCAGACAAGCUGAGAGGUGGUGCAUGGCCGUCGCCAGCUCGUGCCGUGAGAUGUCCUGUUAAGUCAGGUAACGAGCGAGAUCCCUGCCUCUAGUUGCCACCAUUACUCUCAGGAGUAGUGGGGCGAAUUAGCGGGACCGCCGCAGUUAAUGCGGAGGAAGGAAGGGGCCACGGCAGGUCAGUAUGCCCCGAAACUCUGGGGCCACACGCGGGCUGCAAUGGUAAUGACAAUGUGUUCCGAAUCCGAAAGGAAGAGGUAAUCCUCAAACAUUACCACAGUUAUGACUGAGGGCUGCAACUCGCCCUCACGAAUAUGGAAUCCCUAGUAACUGCGUGUCAUUAUCGCACGGUGAAUACGUCCCUGCUCCUUGCACACACCGCCCGU